GACGAACGCUGGCGGCGUGCCUAAUACAUGCAAGUCGAACGCAGUGGGGACGGGUGAGUAACACGUGGGUAACCUCCCAUCAGACGGGAUAACACUGUGAAACAGGUGCUAAACCGAUACUGAUGGAUGGACCCGUGGUGCAUUAGCUAGUUGGUGCGGUAACGGCGCACCAAGGCCACGAUGCAUAGCCGACCUGAGAGGGUAAUCGGCCACACUGGGACUGAGACACGGCCCAGAAUCCUACGGGAGGCAGCAGUAGGGAAUCUGCGGCAAUGGACGAAAGUCUGACCGAGCAACGCCGCGUGAGUGAAGAAGGUUUUCGGAUCGUAAAACUCUGUUGUUAGAGAAGCGGUAUCUAACCAGAACGCCACGGCUAACUACGUGCCAGCAGCCGCGGUAAUUC
rnacentral:rRNA from 1 species